rnacentral:lncRNA from 1 species
AUUGGGUUAUACGAUCUGAAAGUUUAAGCUGAUAGCUAACGAUAUUUAUAUAUUUUUAUAUUUAAUACUAUCUCUCAUGUCUGGACUUGAGACUUUAUGUAAGUCUGGACUUGAGACUUUUUAUAAGGCCUAUAAUAUGAACUUGAAUUAAAUAGAAGGAAAUUAAUAAUAUUAGGAUUCUGGCAUUACUCGAACUCAGGACCUCUUACAUUUCAUGUGAAACAACUGUUGUAGUCUAAAACUUAAGCUGAUAGAGAACGAUGUUUAUAUAUUUUUAUAUUUAACACGGAUUAUAA